UACGAAGGGGGCUAGCGUUGCUCGGAAUCACUGGGCGUAAAGCGCACGUAGGCGGAUUGCUAAGUCAGGGGUGAAAUCCUGGAGCUCAACUCCAGAACUGCCUUCGAUACUGGGAAGCUCGAGUCCGGGAGAGGUGAGUGGAACUGCGAGUGUAGAGGUGAAAUUCGUAGAUAUUCGCAAGAACACCAGUGGCGAAGGCGGCUCACUGGCCCGGUACUGACGCUGAGGUGCGAAAGCGUGGGGAGCAAACAGG
rnacentral:rRNA from 1 species